rnacentral:lncRNA from 1 species
UGGGGAAACUUCACAUUCGUCCCACUUACUCAUUUACACGUUCUACAGGAGUCUCAACAGGUUGUCACCAUUUUGAAGAACACGUAAGUUCUCUGGCAGAACUGCUGGUGCUGAUUACUUUAUUUCACCCUCUGAGUACUACUACUAUUGUAUUUAUUUAUUUCAUCAUGCAAAUUCUUGACCAAUUAUUUACUUUAGUUCAUUCAGUAAUCUCUUGCUGCUCCGUUGUUUGAGCUUUGCUAUCGUUUUUAUUUACUGUGUUCGGGCAGUUCAAGAAAGAGUAUGGAGAUCUAGCCAGGAGUAGUCAACAAAUUGGAGAAAAUGUUUUUUGUUCCUAUAUGGAUUGAAUAAUCGAAGAGAUUGAUCAAGAUGCUAUGUCAAGGUGUGUCACGG